UACAGAGGUCUCAAGCGUUGUUCGGAUUCAUUGGGCGUAAAGGGUGCGUAGGUGGCGCCGUAAGUCAGGUGUGAAAUUCCGGAGCUCAACUCCGGAACUGCAUUUGAUACUGCGGUGCUCGAGGACUGGAGAGGAGACUGGAAUUCACGGUGUAGCAGUGAAAUGCGUAGAUAUCGUGAGGAAGACCAGUGGCGAAGGCGGGUCUCUGGACAGUUCCUGACACUGAGGCACGAAGGCCAGGGGAGCAAACGGG
rnacentral:rRNA from 1 species